rnacentral:lncRNA from 1 species
CUGGGGUCUACCUCUCCUCUCCACUGAUCAAGACAGAGUGCCUCAAAACAACAAAACCAAAAUCAAACAAGUGAAGGAGUUCAAUGAUUCUCCCUUCUUCCUAACUUUCCUAUUACCAUUGAGGACAACUUCAUUCUCCUAAUCACCUUUGCCUUCAACCUCAGCAUUGUCCUCAGAGAAGGAGAGGAGGGAAGAGUCUACAGAAACUCCCCUUGGGGGGUCAGGACUAGAGAAGCUUCUGAGCAACAGCAAAGCCUACACCCAAGUGGAGAAAAAUGAGAGAAACAGAGGUCAAGUGGCAUGUAAGUGACAGUAAAUAUCACUGAUAAAUCUUGCAUUUUCUCUAGCCUUCUCUGUGCCUGGAAUGUGCUCUCUCCUCAUCUCCUAUCUACUGACCUCCUUGACUUCCUUUAAAUCCCAAAUACCAUCCCAUCUUAUUUAGAAAGAUGUUCUCAGUC